AUGGAGCGCUCCUACCACACCGACCCGUCCAGAAGGCCACGCUCGAGCAACAAGAUGGUGGUCUCCUCUCCGGCCAUCGAGCACGCGGAGUACAUCCUGCGCCAGCACGCGGUGACUCUCAUGGCGGCAGACCGCGCGCACUCCACGUCCCCCAUGGUGGUGGGGAAAGCCUUCGACGCGCAGCUCCGCACUCCGCCCCAUCAGCUGCGGGUGAUGGCGCACCACCCGGAGGCCUUCCUGGUGCACUUUGACCUGCCGGCGCACCGGGACAACGCCGUCCGUCGUGGCGUCCUC
rnacentral:rRNA from 1 species